rnacentral:rRNA from 1 species
CCCUAAGACAAAAUAAGACGCGUAGCCUUGUCGUCUAACGGACUAACAUAACCCUUGGAAGCCGUUCAUCGGUGUUCACCCUGCGACCCCAGGUCAGGCG